rnacentral:lncRNA from 1 species
GCGUAUGUAACCUAGUUUUGUGCCUAGUGUCAUUCAACACACUAAUAAGGUGCAAGGGCUGUAAAUGCACACACUAGUCGCAUGGGCACAUGUGUGGCCAUGCAUGGCCAUAUUACCAUUGCCGGCAAGCCGGUAUUGUCAAGCACACAAGAUAGCAUGAUAGCGGUGCUUGGUUUGGCUACUAUUAGUUGACUUUAUCUUUAGGAAGUUUUAUAACGCCAGUGCUUUGAUAUCCAAAAAUAUCACAUAAGAUCUAUUUCUCAAUCCCACUCUGUGACGAAAUUGAUUUUCUUAGUGUUUUCCCUCACAUAAAUGAUUAUGAACUAUUUGAAUCAUAUUUACGUAUCUUUUCUCAUGAUUUUUGCAUGGCAUUCAAUAUAUAUGGUUUUGUAUGGUAUACAUGGCAUACAUAUUUAGGAUUCUUAAGGUACUUCCAAAUCAAUACGCAUUGGGCUCAUCACUCCAUCCACAUGCUGAGAUUAAAAAAGUGAGACCUCUUACCUCAUAGGGGUAAUAGGUCAUCAAAGUCAUUAACUAAAUGAAGGUAAUAAUUUUGGAAUCAAAACUACUAUUGGCUAAAUUUAGUUGGUUUUUGAAAUCAAAACUACUAGGUCAGCUGAACCGAGUUGGCUCGACUGGGCCUGUUUUCUAUCAUCCGCUGCAACUGUGAUUUUCAGGAUCGUUUAUUUACCCCCUCCCAUCCCUCCCCU